GUUCAGCCCUCAGGAGCUCCUGGGUCCUGUGGGGACAGAGCUGAGAGGCUCCAGCUCAUUUCUGUGAGCUGUUAGGUGACUCCCAGCCCCUGCUGCUGAGCCAGCUCGUUGCUUUGGGAGAUCAGGCCUUAGGAGACCACUUCUUCUCUGAAUAAAUGUCCCUUUAGUGUUUCCUCCAAAACACCCUUGGCAAGAUGCUGUUUGGAUUUAGAUGGUGAAGGGUUAAUAGUGUCAGCACAGAGCUCAAAGAGUUAAAUAGACACAGAUCAAAAUACUCCAGUGUCUAGAGGGAUGUGUUUAAAUGAACACUGCAAGGUUGGCAGGCCUCCAAAUUAGCAUAGCUUAAAGAAUUCAAGGUACAUUUAAUUGGAUCCUUCUAAUCCCUUUUCCCUUAGAAUGAGCAUUUUAACAGUUUAAUUCCUUUUGCAACCCCCACAUCCCUUACUCCAGUGGCCCAUCUAAAAUAAAUACUGUGAACUAUAUAAGGCCUAGAGAAGUUCUUGCUGCAGCUAGUGGCAACAGGAUGGAGCCCUCAACACUCCCCUCAUCGGGAUGGGAUGUUUGGAACUGCAGAGGGAAUCAGGGCUGAGCUUGGCACCCAGCAGGUUCAGCUGCUGCCUGCUCGAGGAGCUUCAGGGGCUGUGUUGGGAUGGAGUUGGCAGCUGUGGAACAGGAGGUACAGGGUGGGGGCUGGAGGCAGCACAGGGGGCUCUGUCUGGGUGCCCAGGGAGUCCCUUGGAGCCAGGUCAGGGAGGUGGCAGUGGGCAGGGGAAGGUGCCCCACUGUUUGCCAGAGCAAGGCAAGGGAAGAGUGCAUGAGAGCCACAGGCCAGGACACUGCUUUUAAUGUAUUUGAUACACUUUGGGCCACUUCAAUUACUCGUUAGUAAGUGAACUGACUGACUGGCUGUUUGUGAUGACCUUUUUACUGACUUCAAUGAUUCUUGUUCAGUGUUUGGCACCUGACAUGGACUGUAAGCUCCUUGGGGCACAGAAACACUGGGAAACCCUUCUUGAGGAAAGCCUGGAUAACAGAUACAAUUGUGUCCUCCAGCUGCUGAGCUACUUUAGACUACAUUGUCACCUGCUUCGGGCACUAAAGAUAAGAAGACUCAGAGGUAGAGACAUUUCACAGGAUGGACAGAGAUUGCUCCACUUCAUGCAGCAGAACCCAGAAGUUCUACACCAGGUGAAUUCACGUCUUUUCUAUGGGGUAUUACUAUAUUUCUGAAUUCUCCUGGGUUUUGGGGUACUUAACACCAGGU
ensembl:lncRNA